AAAGAAAGUAAGCAAGGGCGCAUGGCGGAUGCCUUGGCUCUCGGAGGCGAUGAAGGACGUGAUAAGCUGCGAUAAGCUCUGGGUAGGUGCAAAUAACCUUUGAUCCAGAGAUUUCCGAAUGGGACAACCCGGCAUUCUGAAGGAAUGUCAUCCAUCUUUGAUGGAAGCUAACGCAGGGAACUGAAACAUCUUAGUACCUGUAGGAAAAGAAAAUAAUAAUGAUUCCCCUAGUAGUGGCGAGCGAACGGGGAAUAGCCCAAACCACCCAUGUUACGGCAUGUGUGGGGUUGUAGGACCACGAUGUCGCAAGACAUUUGACGAAUAGAAUCCUCUGGAAAGUGGAACCAUAGACGGUGAUAGUCCGGUAUAUGAAGUCAAAUUAAGCGUAGUGGUAUCCUGAGUAGCGCGGGACACGAGAAAUCUUGCGUGAAUCUGCCGGGACCAUCCGGUAAGGCUAAAUACUCCCGAGAGACCGAUAGCGAACCAGUACUGUGAAGGAAAGGUGAAAAGCACUUCGAAUAGAAGAGUGAAAUAGUCCCUGAAACCGUGCGCCUACAAGCGGUCGGAGCUGCGUAAGCAGUGACGGCGUGCCUUUUGCAUAAUGAACCUACGAGUUACUUUUUCCGGCAAGGUUAAGCAUCUUGAGAUGUGCAGCCGAAGCGAAAGCGAGUCUGAACAGGGCGUCGAGUCGGAAGGAGUAGACGCGAAACCAAGUGAUCUACCCUUGGUCAGGUUGAAGGUUAGGUAACACUAACUGGAGGACCGAACCGAUAAGCGUUGAAAAGCUUCCGGAUGAACUGAGGGUGGGGGUGAAAGGCUAAUCAAACUUGGAGAUAGCUCGUACUCCCCGAAAUGCAUUUAGGUGCAGCCUUGUGAGUUACUAAUGUGAGGUAGAGCGACUGAUAAGAUGCGAGGGCUUCACCGCCUAUCAAGUCUUGAUAAACUCCGAAUGCGCAUUAGUUCUAUCACAGGAGUGAGGGCAUGGGUGCUAAGGUCCAUGUCCUAAAGGAGAAGAAUCCAGACCAUCAGCUAAGGUCCCCAAAUAAACACUAAGUUGAACUAACGAAGUCAGAUUGCUAAGACAGCUAGGAUGUUGGCUUGGAAGCAGCCAUUCAUUUAAAGAGUGCGUAACAGCUCACUAGUCGAGGAGUUUGGCGUGGAUAAUAAUCGGGCAUUAAGUGUUUUACCGAAGCUAUGGGAUCAGUAAUGAUCGGUAGGGGAGCAUUCCACUCUGCGUCGAAGGUGAAGCGUGAGCUUUGCUGGAGCGUGUGGAAAAGCAAAUGUAGGUAUAAGUAACGAUAAAGGGGGUGAGAAACCCCCUCGCCGAAAGACUAAGGUUUCCUGAUCAACGCUAAUCGGAUCAGGGUUAGUCGGGUCCUAAGGCUCAGCCGAACGGUGAGGCCGAUGGCAGAACAGGUUAAUAUUCCUGUACUACCUUAAGGAGUGACGUGGAGACGGAGCAGUGACAGCGCCGCGGACUGACGGAAUAGUCCGUUGAAGGGUGUAGAUGUUGAUCAUCCCAGGCAAAUCCGGGAUGAGAGUCGAACCUGAUAGUAUGGAGCGUUCUUCGGAACAAUCCAAUAGUGCGUGUAAGCAUACUCCCAAGAAAAUCCGCUAAACUUAAUCCUUAAGGUACCCGUACCGCAAACGGACACACGUAGUCGGGUUGAAUAUACUAAGGCGCUUGAGUGAUUCACGGUUAAGGAACUAGGCAAAUUGACCCUGUAACUUCGGGAUAAAGGGUCCCAACGAGAGUUGGGCGCAGAGAAUAGGUCCAGGCAACUGUUUAACAAAAACACAGGGCUGUGCCAAAUUGAAAGAUUACGUAUACAGCCUGACACCUGCCCGGUGCUGGAAGGUUAAGAGGAGAUGUCAUCGCAAGAGAAGCAUUGAAUUGAAGCCCCAGUAAACGGCGGCCGUAACUAUAACGGUCCUAAGGUAGCGAAAUUCCUUGUCGGGUAAGUUCCGACCUGCACGAAUGGUGUAAUGAUCUGGACACUGUCUCAACCGUGAGCUCAGUGAAAUUGUAGUAUCGGUGAAGAUGCCGAUUACCCGCGAUGNCUGUGCCAAAUUGAAAGAUUACGUAUACAGCCUGACACCUGCCCGGUGCUGGAAGGUUAAGAGGAGAUGUCAUCGCAAGAGAAGCAUUGAAUUGAAGCCCCAGUAAACGGCGGCCGUAACUAUAACGGUCCUAAGGUAGCGAAAUUCCUUGUCGGGUAAGUUCCGACCUGCACGAAUGGUGUAAUGAUCUGGACACUGUCUCAACCGUGAGCUCAGUGAAAUUGUAGUAUCGGUGAAGAUGCCGAUUACCCGCGAUGGGACGAAAAGACCCCGUGAACCUUUACUAUAGCUUAACAUUGAAUUUGGGUAAUUGAUGUGUAGGAUAGGCCGGAGACUUUGAAGCAGGUACGCCAGUAUUUGUGGAGUCGCUGUUGAAAUACGGCCCUUUGAUUAUUUGAGUUCUAACUCGUAGUUGCGAGGACACUGUUUGGUGGGUAGUUUGACUGGGGUGGUCGCCUCCAAAAUAGUAACGGAGGCUUCUAAAGGUGCCCUCAGGACGAUUGGUAACCGUCCGUAGAGUGUAAUGGCAUAAGGGCGCUUGACUGGGAGACUAACAAGUCGAUCAGGUAGGAAACUAGAGCAUAGUGAUCCGGUGUUUCCGUAUGGAAGGGACAUCGCUCAAAGGAUAAAAGGUACUCCGGGGAUAACAGGCUGAUCCCUCCCAAGAGCUCAUAUCGACGGAGGGGUUUGGCACCUCGAUGUCGGCUCGUCACAUCCUGGGGCUGGAGAAGGUCCCAAGGGUUGGGCUGUUCGCCCAUUAAAGUGGCACGCGAGCUGGGUUCAGAACGUCGUGAGACAGUUCGGUCUCUAUCUAUCGUGGGCGUAUGAAAUUUGCGUGGCUCUGACACUAGUACGAGAGGACCGUGUUGGACUGACCGCUGGUUUACCAGUUGUGCCGCCAGGUGCAUUGCUGGGUAUCUAAGUCGGGAUUGGAUAAGUGCUGAAAGCAUCUAAGUACGAAGCCAGCCACAAGAUUAGAUUUCUUAGGGUCGUUAAAGACGAUGACGUUGAUAGGAUGCAGGUGUAAAGGUGGUAACAUCAAAGCCGAGCAUUACUAAUUGCCCGUUCACUUUCUUU
rnacentral:rRNA from 1 species